UCUAAGUCCUAGAAAAAUAUAAAGUAAAAAAGACAUUUACAUUAAUAAACAUAGCUUUCAUAUUGACUAUAAUCAAUUUCUUUUUUCUAUUUGACUUGGAGAGGAUCAUGUCCCAAGACACGCUGCAUAAAAUUCAUGUAUGGAAGCAAUAUGCCGGUGAUGCAAAUGCAGUUGCAUGUUCCACUCCUUUCCUUUCUGCCGGGAAUGACUGGUGUCUGGUUUUUGUUGAAAGCCCUCCUAUUAAGAAAUUCCGGAGCCACAUUUACAUAUCAGGACCAAAACAAAGGAUUCAGAGAAAUCAAGAGCAACCAGUGUGGACCUCCAUUAACCCGCGGCAUCAGUAAAACUGCUGAAAAUUUCAAUGGAAACAUCCACAAAGAAAUCACUUCAUUGGACAUGAACAAAUACAACCUAUGAUUUGUAAAGGACCGUUAGUCAUGCCCUCUAGGAAGGACUUAUUCAGUUUUGUCACCCAAGAACCUAGAAAGAAAUCUGGGACACAAAAAAGAUAUGCCUGAUUUCAUUGGAUGAUGGAACUGGAAGAGACUCUAGAAUUCACAUUUCCCCAAACCUCUCACUAUACAGCUCUUUGUACUUCCCCUGCCUCCCUCUGGUGGUUUGCAUUCAGUGAUAGUAGCUAAAGGAAACACUGGAGAAGUAAGCGCUAGGAUUCAUGUCAUACCAAUGAAGUGAAUUGGAAUAACUGAGUUGACCAAGAGUUUACUCUAACAGAACCUGUGACUCUUUCCAAAGGAACCUUGACUGGCAAUUUCUUCCCUAAUAAAACCCAACUUCUAUGUUAAAAAUCCCAUGUGGCAGAAACGGAGUAGGACACAAAGGAAAAGACCACACUGUGAGGCUGUGACUCAGCUGGACCAGAAUGAAGAUCUACACCAGAUUCAAAAAUGAGACAGAUUAAGAAGACAAGGAGUAAUUGAAAUAUGUCCUGAGAACAUCAAUAUUAAGCUUUUAUUUGGCUAUGUGUCUCAUGUCUUCAACUACACCAGGAGCUUUUUGAGGUUUUAUGAUACUUAUUCUUCUUCAGUAGAGGUGGUGAACAUGUGGUCAGCAGCAUCAUCCAUUUAACAUCACUGUGUGCUCAGAUCCACCUUCAG